GGGGUUUCACCAUGUUGGCCAGGCUGGUCUUGAACUCCUGACCUCAGGUGAUGCACCUGCCUCGGCCUCUCAAAAUGCUGGGAUUACAGGUGUGAGCCACCACGCCCAGCCUCUGGGAUUCUUAGUAUACACAUCCAGAUUGCCUUUCGACAAUCACAUACCAGUUUUCAGUCCCACCAGCACCACAGAAAGAUUCCCAUUUUACUUGAGAAAGUUACAUUUUUUAGGGAAAGUUCAUGGGAGGGGCUGGAAAAGACCUAAGUAUUGGUCAUGUGCUAGAAACACCUAACUGAAUUAUUGAACAAGAGGGGUUGCAUUCUUAGCUUUUCAAAGAGGCAUGGGUGGGUGAGGCUGAAAAUCCCACUAUUGGAAAGAUUCAGAUGUGGAAGCGGCCACAGGACGGGAAUCUGCAGUCAGGAAGAGAAGUGUCAGCGUUCUCUCCCAGGAGCAUUUCUGUGCAGAGUCAAGGUCCCGGACAUCCAGUUACAAAAACAAGAGUGCAGAAGCAGCCAGCAGCCUCCCGUGACCUUGAAUCAGAAGGAAAGCGGGAAACAGUGUACACCGGAGGCGCCCAGUAACGGACAUUUACGUUGCUCUGAUUCUCUGCCAUCCCAAGCAGCACCAUGAGGAACAGCGCUAUGCAGGACCUUCUGCGGAUGCACCUGUGCCAGUCUGUCUGGCUGGGGCCUGCACACUCCGAGAAAGGACUGUGCACUCUGAGGAAGGACUGCGCAGUCUGAGGAAGGGCUGAGCACUCUUGUGGAAGUACCGCCCACUCUGAGGAAGGACCGUGCACUCUGAGGAAGGACUGCGCAGUCUGAGGAAAGGCUGCGCACUCUCGUGGAAGUACCGCCCACUCUGAGGAAGGACUGCUAGGUUGUCUCUCUGGAAAGUUUUCUGUUGCCCAUGCGGAGAAUAUUCAAGUUUUGUUUCGGCCUUCCAGAAUUUCCCUCCUGUUUGGGGGGGAUCAUCCUCCACUCCGUUAUACAGCCUCGGAGGCAGACACCACUCGUCAUCGGAUGUCAAACCAAAGCUCCCCCAGGCUUAGCAGUCACUUCCUGAAAGUCUGCAGCAGACGACACGGCUUCUCCCAGCCCGUCUUCUUCCCCACACGGUGGGCAUGGUAACGUCCUUAACAUGCACCUGUCAGUGUGAAAGCAGCAGGCUGAGAUCACACACCAAGUUCCCAGGCUACAGAUUUCCUCUCUGGAGAGAAGGAACCGGGGUUGCUCGCUGAGCUGACAAGAGGUGGCAUCCUGGAAAGAUGCAGCUGGCCAAAGCCUGCCCUCCAUACGGAGUCCCCCCCUCGGCCAAUGGCUCCAGCUAAAGGUGAGAGAAUUCCUUGCGUGGCAGAAUGGGCCACCCAAGACCUACCAACACUGACACUCAGGACCCCAGUCAAACAGAGUGGCCUUAGCAAGGGAGGUGGGUGCCAUUAUCAUCACUUGCGGAUGUGGAACUCAUGCCCAGAGGGUAUGACCAACCUGUAGGUUCCCAGCCAGGAAGCUGAAGGGCUCAGAUGCGAACCUGACUCAGUGUGGCACUCGGCAGGUCCCUUCCAGGAGCCUCAUCCCUGCCUCCGUAGGAUGGAGGUGGGGACAGCCCUCCUGAGGACACAUUUCCUGCACUGCCUCCCACAGCUGUGCCCAGACUCCCAGAGCCUCUCUCAUGCCAAGAGAGUCUGUGGUGGGAGCCAAGACAGCUGACCCCAGAAGCCCCGGGCACCCCAGACGCUCGGCCCUGGGAGGGUGGCUGUGCCGGACAGACUCCAGACAGAGCUCAGACUCCGGGUCUACACACAGUGACUUUAUUACUCUAUGGAUGCUGGUGAACUGCCCUCCCCAACCAGCUUCACGGGGGCAGGCAUCUCUGUCCAUCCCAUGCC
rnacentral:lncRNA from 10 species